GUUAAAGCCUCUUAGUUCUUCGUAUUUUUGCAGACUGUAUAACGUGAACAGCGCUGACUUGAGUAUCUCUUACCUGUAAGUGAAUCGCUGAGGUAUAUCUUGUAUCUUAAAGAAUUACACAGCUGCACACCUACAAACUUCUUAUACCAGGUCCUUUUCACAUAUUGUUUCCCUUUGCAUUCUGAGUAUGUGUCAGAAUUGAAUGGGAUUUCAGUCCAGAUAGCAUCCUUUCCCAUUGAAAUAGGCUCGCUCACUCUUGGGUCCGCUGAUUCAGUACUGAAAGCCACAACAUUGCUACUUGGACCUUCACCAAGGGGGUUUCUAGGUUUCACAUGGAAUUCAUAACUUGUGUCAGGUUUUAGGUUUUCCACAGUAGAAUGGGUUUGAUUUGUAGUGAUAAUCGACUUCUCCUUUUCACCAUC
rnacentral:lncRNA from 1 species